rnacentral:rRNA from 1 species
AUUGAACGCUGGCGGCGGGCCUAACACAUGCAAGUCGAGCGGAUGAAGGGAGCUUGCUCCUGGAUUCAGCGGCGGACGGGUGAGUAAUGCCUAGGAAUCUGCCUGGUAGAGGGGGACAACGUUUCGAAAGGAACGCUAAUACCGCAUACGUCCUACGGGAGAAAGCAGGGGACCUUCGGGCCUUGCGCUAUCAGAUGAGCCUAGGUCGGAUUAGCUAGUUGGUGAGGUAAUGGCUCACCAAGGCGACGAUCCGUAACUGGUCUGAGAGGAUGAUCAGUGACACUGGAACUGAGACACGGUCCAGACUCCUACGAGAGGCAGCAGUGGGGAAUAUUGGACAAUGGGCGAAAGCCUGAUCCAGCCAUGCCGCGUGUGUGAAGAAGGUCUUCGGAUUGUAAAGCACUUUAAGUUGGGAGGAAGGGUUGUAGAUUAAUACUCUGCAAUUUUGACGUUACCGACAGAAUAAGCACCGGCUAACUCUGUGCCAGCCGCCGCUGUAACAC